rnacentral:rRNA from 1 species
CGCCUUGCCAGCCCGCUCAGAAACUCAAAGGAAUUGACGGGGCCCGCACAAGCGGUGGGGUAUGUGGUUUAAUUCGAUGCAACGCGAAGAACCUUACCUGGUCUUGACAUCCCGGAGACCCUUAGGAAACUAGGGGGUGCUUCCAUCUGGAAGAAUCUGGAGACAGGUGCUGCAUGGCUGUCGUCAGCUCGUGUCGUGAGAUGUUGGGUUAAGUCCCGCAACGAGCGCAACCCUUGCCUUUAGUUGCCAGCAGUUCGGCUGGGCACUCUAAAGGGACUGCCGGUGUUAAACCGGAGGAAGGUGGGGAUGACGUCAAGUCCUCAUGGCCUUUAUGACCAGGGCUACACACGUACUACAAUGGCCGAUACAAAGGGCAGCGACACUGCGAGGUGAAGCCAAUCCCGUAAAAUCGGUCUCAGUCCGGAUUGGAGUCUGCAACUCGACUCCAUGAAGUUGGAAUCGCUAGUAAUCGUGGAUCAGCAUGCCACGGUGAAUACGUUCCCGGGCCUU